AACUUUUGGCAAUGGAUCACUUGGCUCUCGCAUCGAUGAAGAAAGCAGCGAAAUGCGAUAAGUAAUGUGAAUUGCAGAAUUCAGUGAAUCAUCGAAUCUUUGAACGCACCUUGCGCCCUUUGGCUAUUCCGAAGGGCAUGCCUGUUUGAGUAUCAUGAACACCUCAACUCUCAUGGCUUGCCAUGAUGAGCUUGGACUUUGGGGGUCUUGUUGGCCUGUGAGCCAGCUCCUCUUAAAUGAAUUAGCUUGCCGGUGUUUGGUGGCGUCACGGGUGUGAUAACUAUCUACGCUUGUGGUUUCCCACCAGGUAACCUUCAGCAAUGGAGGUUCGCCGGAGCUUAUAAAUGUCUCUCCUCGGUGAGGACACAUUUUGACCAUUUGAUCUCAAAUCAGGUAGGACUACCCGCUGAACUUAAGCAUAUCAAUAAGCGGAGGCU
rnacentral:misc_RNA from 1 species